CAGCGUCUCCCGCCGGCUUCUGUCCCAGGCUGAAGGGUCUCACCUGGGCUGAUGUCCUUCCACAGAACCAGAAACUGGGAGUCAUCCUCAAACUGAACCAGACACACCUCCCGAGCACUGUCCACCUGGAAUGGCCUGGUUCUCCUGCACCCCAGCUCCCAGGGACCCCAUGGAAAGGAUGCUUGCAGAACCACCACUCAGCUUCACCUUUCCCAGAUGUCAGAGGGCCUCCUUCUUCUCCUUACCGGUGACAACUGGGACACCUGGGACUCAGGCAGGAGCAGACCCAAGAGACCUGGGUGAGCCCCCGGUGCGGGAAGAGUGCGUGUGGGCGCUGAGGGGCGUG